rnacentral:rRNA from 1 species
GAGUUUGAUCCUGGCUCAGAUUGAACGCUGGCGGCAUGCCUUACACAUGCAAGUCGAACGGCAGCACGGGAGCUUGCUCCUGGUGGCGAGUGGCGAACGGGUGAGUAAUGCAUCGGAACGUAUCCUGGAGUGGGGGAUAACGUAGCGAAAGUUACGCUAAUACCGCAUAUUCUGUGAGCAGGAAAGCGGGGGACCUUCGGGCCUCGCGCUCUUGGAGCUGCCGAUGUCGGAUUAGCUAGUUGGUGAGGUAAAGGCUCACCAAGGCGACGAUCCGUAGCGGGUCUGAGAGGAUGAUCUGGCCACACUGGAACUGAGACACGGUCCAGACUCCUACGGGAGGCAGCAGU